AGAUGUUCCUUCCAAAAGGCUGGGCUGGAGUUGGGGGUUCUCUCAUGGCUUCUCUUGGCUCCCAUCACAAGAACUAUUCUAGCUCAAGGGUAUAAAACAGGAUGUUUGUGGCCAGGCGCGGUGGCUCACGCCUGUAAUCCCAGCACUUUGGGAGGCCGAGGCGGGGGUAUCAUGCGGUCAGGAGAUUGAGACCAUCCUGGCUAACAUGGUGAAACCCCGUCUCUACUAAAAAUACAAAAAGAAAUUAGCUGGGCGUAGUGGUGGGCGCCUGUAGUCCCAGCUACUCGGGAGGCUGAGGCAGAAGAAUGGCGUGAACCCAGAAGGCAGAGCUUGCAGUGAGCGGAGAUUGCACCACUGCACUCCAGCCUGGGCCACAGAGCGAUACUCCGUCUCAAAAACCAAAAAAACAAAAACAAAAACAAAAAACAACGGGAUGUUUGUCAAAAGCUGCCUUUUCUAAGAACAGAGAGCGUGUGACUCUUCUCUCACCCCACCAUGGCUACUUGUUACUGUGAUCUAAAUUUAAUUGUCUCCAUUAGCCACAGGGAGCUCUUGUCUCAAGAGCUGAGGGAGCUUAUUUACAGUUUUAUUUCACAGCAAGAUAAAUGGUGUCCCCUAAAUAAUAAUGUGACUUAAUGGUAGAGGCAGGACUAAAUCCCAGUUUCUUUCCAGUUUAUGUUUUACUACUAAAGUUGAAAACAAGAUUCUCUUUUUAGAGUGUAACUCUGCUGUUAUGAAAUUAUGAAUACUCAAGAAUUAGCUCAUAAUGUUGUCUUUUUUUACUUUUAUUUUAUAUUUUGAUUAAUGCCUUUCUCUUGUUAGAAGAAGGAACGAAUUAAAACAUCACUUGUGGAUAGGUCUAAUUGUCCUCAUUAUAUGGAAGAAGAAACUGAUAUUCUAGGAAGUUUAGUAACGAUAUAGAUUUAAUGCAGCUGGGAAGGGUGUGGACUUAUGAAGUCAAAACUAGGUCUGUUAGACUGUAAAAUCUGUGCUUUGAAGAUUGUGCAUCUGGGAAAGAAAAUGAAAAACUCUAGGAAAUUCUUAGAUCCAAUUAGUAAUUGUGGUCACAACACUUAAGAAUGAAUUCAGAAUAUGCAAUUAUACCCAAAACACUUGCAAUGCCUUUUUUUUCAUGUUAUAGAGAAUUAGAGAGACUCUAGAAUUCUUUAUGUCUGUAUUCAAGAAGAAGGAAGAUAAAAUAAUGAAGAAACCAAGUGCAAUUCUAAGACAUAUGUGCCCUGAACCAUUCUUUAUUUGAAUAAAACAUAGAUCCAGACCAUCAUUAGCCCCCUGCAAAAGUUGAGAUAGAUGCUUUGAAGUAACACCUUCUCCCUAUUUGUUUUCAUUAUUUUAACCUAGACUUCGGGAUAGCCUUGUAGCGUUGGUAACAAGUAAACUGUUUCACUACAGGCAGACGGAUUUCUAAGAUAUUUUGGUAGUUUUUAUUAAGUUAGAAAAGCUCAUGAAAUCUUUGCUGGGGCUGAGAGAAUGGAAUUAUCUGAUUAUUAGUAUUAGGUCAACCCUGACUUAAAGUCCCUACUGAUGUCUUUGCAAAAAACUUGGAAAAAGCAGUUUUCUCUCCAGGCCUCAAUAUCUCUUGGGAGCUGUUAUAAAAUGGCAUAACUCAUCUGAAAAAGAAAAAAAGAAACGGAAGGAAACACCUUUCCAUUGAAAAUAUGGUGUGUACGUUUGUAAGUAAAGAUGGUCUAGGAACAGAAUUUGUAAUUAUGCUUCCACAGGAAGUUUGACAGCAACGUUUCUUUCUUUCUUUGUUUUUUUUUUUUUUUUUUUUUUUUUUUCUGGGAAGUUUAGGGCAAGGAGGACAUGAAAUUGAUAAUGCCUUGAGCCCGGCAAUGGGUUUUCCCAGAAGAAAUAAUGCAAAGCCGUUAGAUGAAUGACAGUUUCUAAAGUCUGCACAACCAACUCUUGACAGAUGGAGCACUGCAGAGGCCAUGUGGCACGGGAAUUUCCAAAUUUCCACUCUAAUUUCAUUUGCUUUUUAAAAAACUUUGGCAGCUGAAGUUGCAGCAGCUGACCUCUAACUGCUACCCCGGGGAAACAGGAGGCCGUGUAACGGGCUCUUUAUGAACAAGGGCUGUAGACGGCGCUGGAGAACACAGGCUCCACUAGGGGCCGUGGAGAAGGCCCUGUCCGGAUGUCUACCCGCCAGCACAGAGGGGCUGCCGGCCCUUGCUUUGCAUCUUUAAGGAGGCAGCCUGGUGUAGUCAGAUAUCCCCGCAUCCGAGUCUUAGUUUUACCACUGACAGCUGUGUGACUUUGGUCAGCUUUUCAACUUCAAGCUUUUUUCCUUAUCUGUAAAAAUCCUAAUUUGUGGCGUUGUCAUGAAAAUUAAGGCUAAUAUAUAUUAAAAUAUUUAGUACAGUACUCAGCACAGAUUAGAACCCAAUAAAGUCCCUAAUUACGUAACCAAA